rnacentral:lncRNA from 1 species
UGAGCUGCCUUAGAGCCCGAGGAGUCGGGGAAGCGGCCACCCUUACAACCACCAGAGGGCGCAGGUGCGCAGAAGCCUGCCUGGCCCUGGGAUCUGCCAGGGGAGCCUCCUGCCUGCUUCUUGCGGGACGGCCCCUCCCUGCAGCCGUGGAUGUGAGGGGUCCUCUACCGGGCACAAGGACGCCAGCUUCUCACCCAGCAGAUCCAGCCACACCCGCCCUCCUCUGUUCCUCCAACCUGAGCCUUUCCCACCUCAGGGCCUUGGCCCUUGUGGUUCCAUCUGCCAGACACGCCAUCCCCUGGCUACACCCAAGGCCGACUCUGUCUCCUCCUCCUGGACUCAGCUCAGAUGCCACCUUCUCGCGAGACGCCUUCCCCAUCCCUGGUCUAAAGUGGGCCCCCUGCUAGUCCCAGUCUCGCCCGCUUUUCCCCCUUAGGUCAAUUUGUAAUUAUUUCAUGUAUUGUUUAUUUCAUCUUGUUCUGAUUCUCUCAACAGAUGAUAAGCUGCUGGAGAAGCAGGGGUCUCUUAUUGCCUGGAGCCAAGUGCAGUGCCUGACACAUAGUAGGCCCACAGUAAAUAAUGAUUGCACGGAUAAAUAUAUUUUUAUGCAAGUCAAACCGCUUGAAAGCAAUUACCCAGGAGAGCACACCUUAGGAGGACUAUUUGAAUCCUGCUACUGUGAGCAACAUUACUUAACCAGGUCCCAGAACUGAAGAUGCAUCCACUCUGGAGGCUCCUGGUCCUCCUCAGCUUGCUGGCCUUGCCCUCGGCCCUGCACGAGCAGCCCUGGUGAGAAGUAAGCUGAGCCCGCACUCUACCCCCGUCACAGGGUAGGAGGGGAAACAUCGUCUGGGCCCACCACUGACUUGCUGGGUAACAUUAGGUCAGUCACUCCCCCUCCUUUUUUCUUUUUUUCCUUAGACCUCACCUCGAGUACAGAAAACUGAGGUUGAGCUGAUCAUAUGCCAAUUCAUAGCACAUCAUCAUUGUCAUGGAUCACAAGGGCCCUCGUAUGUUUUGCUUUAUUGUAUUUUCCACCUUCUCUCUUGUCCUCACUCCCAUUCUCCUCUCUCCUGACACGCACCACACCGUGUUUAAUAUAUGUCUUUAAGUAUGCCCACAUCCUUAUGAAAAUGAAACAUGCAGUGUUUUGAUUUACAUAAAUUGUAUUGCCAUAUAUAUUUCAUUAUUUUUUACUGUUUUCACUGGACACCGUGCGGUUGACGUCUGCGGCUUCACACUGGUGCAGAGAAGUCCAUGAGAUUCCUCCAUUUCACCACCACUUGGCCGUUCCCCUUGAGAUAGACUCUUGAGUUGUCUCUGAUUCCCCACUAUUACAAACUACACUGAGAUGAACAUCCUGGCACGGGUCCCUGUUAGGAUCUGUGGGAGAAUUUCUCUGGGAUACACCCAGAAAGGGGAUGGCUGGGCGCUUGGGCAGGUGCUAACUCAAUUUAACUGAAGACUGCCAGGUCGCUCUCUGGAGUGGCUGUGCCGGUCUACACUCACUCCACUAAUAAGCAUACUUGUCUCUCUGUGUUUCUCAACAGUGGGGAAUAUCAAUCUUUAUCAGUCUACCCAGGCUGCCAAAACAAGAUAUCCCAGACCAGGUGGCCUUCCUUUGCAGCUUUUGGGAUUCUUUCUUUAUCUUUAAUUCUUGACAUUUUAAUUGUAAUGGGUCUUGGUGUGGGUCCCCCUAGGGUUAUCUUGUUG